UACGUAGGGUGCAAGCGUUGUCCGGAAUUAUUGGGCGUAAAGAGCUCGUAGGCGGCUUGUCGCGUCGGCUGUGAAAACCUGGGGCUCAACCCCGGGCCUGCAGCCGAUACGGGCAAGCUAGAGUUCGGUAGGGGAGACUGGAAUUCCUGGUGUAGCGGUGAAUGAACGCAGAUAUCAGGAGGAACACCGGUGGCGAAGGCGGGUCUCUGGGCCGAUACUGACGCUGAGGAGCGAAAGCGUGGGGAGCGAACAGG
rnacentral:rRNA from 1 species